rnacentral:lncRNA from 1 species
GAAGCUUUCUUUUGUUUAAGACAAUAAUAUAAAUACUUGGAAGUGAAAGACAACUUGGAAAAUUGUUAAGAAAUAAUGUUCAAAAUAUAGGCUUUAUUGAUAUGUUGAGAACAGAGUGAAAUUGAAUAACUGUACUUAUAAAGAGAAUAGAGCUUGGUUUUAGAAAAGAAUGAAUACAUCAGUGAAUUGGGGAACCAGUGGUUAUAAUUCUUAACACUGUGCUCUCACUGUCUGAUGUUAAGUGUUUUAUAUCUACAUAAUUAAAAUCUGUUAAUAACUUUAUCCUGUAAAUGUCCUUUCUAUCCUUUGUCUGUCAGUAUACUACACUAAGGUGGUAAAAUGAUGAUCAGGUAGAGUAGCUAACAAAGUGUCAUGAUAAUCAGUGAAAGAAUGCUACAUGAAUAAAAAAUUUUGUGCAGCACUAUAGAAGUUACCUGAAUACAAUCAAAGUGUUUUCAUAAAUAUUAAGUAUAGGCAGUUGCCCUGGGUUUUCUAUUUCCUAUUAGUAACUAAUAACUGGUUAAUACUAAAUUUUACUAUGUGCAAAACUGACGAAGCUAUUUCAGUUUUGAAAGUCGCCUGAGAGGGAGACAGAUAGUUUUUAAGAAGUCAUGUUAUUUACAUGCUAAUAAGAGAAAAGAAACACAGAAGACAUAGCUCAUGCAAUAACUUUGUACAAAAUAAGCAAUUAAAAAAUAUGUAUCUUGUGAGUUCUCAUAAUCUGAAAAUGUAUGAAAUAAAAUUAUAUAAGUUUUCUUGACACAUUAACUCUCAGGUUUACUCCUUUUCUUUGAUGCUUUUAUUUACUCAAUUUAUUUUUAACAAAUAAAACUGUAGAUGAAAAGGAAUACAAUAAGAGGGUAUAUU